rnacentral:rRNA from 1 species
UUUCUCAAGAUUAGCCAUGCAUGUCUAGUAUAGCAAUUAUACCGUGAAACUGCGAAUGGCUCAUUAAAUCAGUUAUCGUUUAUUUGAUAGUACCUUACUACUUGGAUAACCGUGGUAAUUCUAGAGCUAAUACAUGCUGAAAACCCCGACUUCGGAAGGGGUGUAUUUAUUAGAUAAAAAACCAACGCCCUUCGGGGCUUCUUGGUGAUUCAUAAUAACUUUACGGAUCGCAUGCCUUGCGCCGGCGACGGUUCAUUCAAAUUUCUGCCCUAUCAACUUUCGAUGGUAAGGUAUUGGCUUACCAUGGUUUCAACGGGUAACGGGGAAUUAGGGUUCGAUUCCGGAGAGGGAGCCUGAGAAACGGCUACCACAUCCAAGGAAGGCAGCAGGCGCGCAAAUUACCCAAUCCCGACACGGGGAGGUAGUGACAAUAAAUACUGAUACAGGGCUCUUUUGGGUCUUGUAAUUGGAAUGAGUACAAUUUAAACCUCUUAACGAGGAACAAUUGGAGGGCAAGUCUGGUGCCAGCAGCCGCGGUAAUUCCAGCUCCAAUAGCGUAUAUUAAAGUUGUUGCAGUUAAAAAGCUCGUAGUUGAAACUUGGGUCUGGCUGGCAGGUCCGCCUCACCGCGUGUACUUGUCCGGCCGGGCCUUCCUUCUGGAGAACCUCAUGCCCUUCACUGGGCGUGUUGGGGACCAGGACUUUUACUUUGAAAAAAUUAGAGUGUUCAAAGCAGGCCUUUGCUCGAAUACGUUAGCAUGGAAUAAUAGAAUAGGACGUGCGUUCCUAUUUUGUUGGUUUCUAGGAACGCCGUAAUGAUUAAUAGGGACAGUCGGGGGCAUCAGUAUUCAAUUGUCAGAGGUGAAAUUCUUGGAUUUAUUGAAGACUAACUACUGCGAAAGCAUUUGCCAAGGAUGUUUUCAUUAAUCAGUGAACGAAAGUUAGGGGAUCGAAGACGAUCAGAUACCGUCGUAGUCUUAACCGUAAACUAUGCCGACUAGGGAUCGGGCGAUGUUCUUUUUCUGACUCGCUCGGCACCUUACGAGAAAUCAAAGUUUUUGGGUUCUGGGGGGAGUAGCCGCCAAGSGSSU